GGUUGGAGUUCGGCAGUCCCGUGGGAGAGGUGGAGUUCGGCAGUCCCUUGGGAGAGGUUGGAGUUCGGCAGUCCCGUGGGAGAGGUUGGAGUUCGGCAGUCCCGUGGGAGAGGUUGGAGUUCGGCAGUCCCGUGGGAGAGGUUGGAGUUCGGCAGUCCCGUGGGAGAGGUUGGAGUUCGGCAGUCCCGUGUAGAGGUUGGAGUUCGGCAGUCCCGUGGGAGAGGUUGGAGUUCGGCAGUCCCGUGGGAGAGGUUGGAGUUCGGCAGUCCCGUGGGAGAGGUUGGAGUUCGGCAGUCCCGUGGGAGAGGUUGGAGUUCGGCAGUCCCGUGGGGGAGAGGUUGGAGUUCGGCAGUCCCGUGGGAGAGGUUGGAGUUCGGCAGUCCCGUGGGAGAGGUUGGAGUUCGGCAGUCCCGUGGGAGAGGUUGGAGUUCGGCAGUCCCGUGGGAGAGGUUGGAGUUCGACGUUCCUGUGGGAGGGGUUGGAGUUCGACGUUCCUGUGGGAGGGGCAUCGCAGAGGCUAGCAGUUGACGAUCCGAUGGUCCCUUCGGAGAAACCUCGUUAUGCGUUGCAGUCCUAUGGAAGGGGCUGUUUUCAACCGUAAUCCUCGGGAACCUGUUGCUUGUUCUGGAGAGCCAUGCAGUUGGCUUUUGUGAAGACCUUCUACUGUCGCUGAAAAGAGAAGUGCGUUGUGAUGUCUACUGGUCCUGCGAAAGAUCCUAUAAGGCAACAGCUUUGUGGAUGGUGAUCCAAUGGACAAGUCUUGUGUCUCUGGCGAAUGAGAUCUUCAGAGUUCUGGAGAUAAGAGUUUAAUAAAAAAAUAAAUCAAU